CACUGGGAUGAUGUGAAUUUGUUUAUUUUAGUUGGUGUGAGAGUGUGGCCCUGUGGGAUGGAGGGUAGGGAGGUUGAUUAAAGAUUCUCUCAGAAUCGAACCGUUCCUGCAAUUUUUUCCAGUCUACAUUUUUCUUGUGCGAUAGCAAUUUUGUUAUGUCUUAACUUUAGUGAGAAAACUUAAUUUGGAUCGACUUAGUGUUAGGAUAAGAAGCUGCUAAUUGCCAGCCUGUGGAGUUGGCUACAUAAAGGGUUAUUUGUUUUGUACUUUUGAGCAUAUUAUGAUCAUCUCGAAAUAGUGGUAAAAAUGCUAUUACAUCAGAAUCUGUUAGUGAGAUGCAAUCAGUAAUAAUUUUGUCCAGUUUCUGCAACACCUACAGGCUACAAUAGAGGUUCUUAUGAGGUUACUAUAUUAGUAGGGAAAAUUUACUCUCAUCUAUCCUUCUCUUGCACUAGAUAUAAUUGGUGUUGAAAUAAAAGGAAGAUUAUGUGGCUAGCUGUAUAAUUUCUAGCAAGUCUUCCCACAACCUGAUGCUUAAGCCGGAUUCCUUGCUCUGGGUCCGAACCGAUAUUCCUCAUAAUUCAACUGUCCUAAAUUGUCAGUGUAGGAGUCUUCUAUUGCUUUUUGACCUUGCUAAAGCGAUAUUUGUGAUAGAUUUACUGGCUUUAGGCUUCUUGGCAAUUGUCCUGGGAGCAGGCUGCUACAGUGGGACUCCUAAUCACUCGCACAAGCAACCUCUAUAAAGCCUAUAAUAGAGGCUUAAAGACACUGCAGGAUAUCUGUGUCGUGCAUGUUAGUCUAAAUAGAGAAGAACUUACUUGUGUUGGGGAUAUGGAUGUAGAUACAGAUAAUUUCUAUCUUGGGCAGGACCGGAGGAGGUUAUAGUUGAUCUGAAUCCAAAAUUAUUGAUAUUUUAGGUGUUUCUAGGACCUAUGUCUUGCUAGUUUGUAAUAUCAAGCUUCUAAGCAAAAGCCACGUACUAGUUCAUAGUUUUCAGGGUGAAUGACAAGCUACCUGCAGAUUCAUAAUAACUAAAAUCCAUAAAUGUAUAGCUUACGAUGUUCUGGUNCUGGGAUGAUGUGAAUUUGUUUAUUUUAGUUGGUGUGAGAGUGUGGCCCUGUGGGAUGGAGGGUAGGGAGGUUGAUUAAAGAUUCUCUCAGAAUCGAACCGUUCCUGCAAUUUUUUCCAGUCUACAUUUUUCUUGUGCGAUAGCAAUUUUGUUAUGUCUUAACUUUAGUGAGAAAACUUAAUUUGGAUCGACUUAGUGUUAGGAUAAGAAGCUGCUAAUUGCCAGCCUGUGGAGUUGGCUACAUAAAGGGUUAUUUGUUUUGUACUUUUGAGCAUAUUAUGAUCAUCUCGAAAUAGUGGUAAAAAUGCUAUUACAUCAGAAUCUGUUAGUGAGAUGCAAUCAGUAAUAAUUUUGUCCAGUUUCUGCAACACCUACAGGCUACAAUAGAGGUUCUUAUGAGG
rnacentral:lncRNA from 1 species